rnacentral:rRNA from 1 species
GAUGAACGCUGGCGGCGUGCCUAAUACAUGCAAGUCGAGCGAACAGAUGAGGAGCUUGCUCCCCUGACGUUAGCGGCGGACGGGUGAGUAACACGUGGAUAACCUACCUAUAAGACUGGGAUAACUACGGGAAACCGGAGCUAAUACCGGAUAAUAUAUUGAACCGCAUGGUUCAAUAGUGAAAGACGGUUUUGCUGUCACUUAUAGAUGGAUCCGCGCCGCAUUAGCUAGUUGGUAAGGUAACGGCUUACCAAGGCAACGAUGCGUAGCCGACCUGAGAGGGUGAUCGGUCACACUGGAACUGAGACACGGUCCAGACUCCUACGGGAGGCAGCAGUAGGGAAUCUUCCGCAAUGGGCGAAAGCCUGACGGAGCAACGCCGCGUGAGUGAUGAAGGUCUUCGGAUCGUAAAACUCUGUUAUUAGGGAAGAACAAAUGUGUAAGUAACUAUGCACGUCUUGACGGUACCUAAUCAGAAAGCCACGGCUAACUACGUG